ACGGCCAUACCACAUUGAAAACACCAGUUCUUGUCCGAUCACUGAAGUUAAGCAAUUUCAGGCCCGGUCAGUACUUGGGAGGGUGACCACUUGGGAACACCGAGUGCUGUAGGCU
rnacentral:rRNA from 1 species